rnacentral:misc_RNA from 1 species
GAAAUGCGAUAAGUAAUGUGAAUUGCAGAAUUCAGUGAAUCAUCGAAUCUUUGAACGCACCUUGCGCUCCUUGGUAUUCCGAGGAGCAUGCCUGUUUGAGUGUCAUUUAAUUCUCAACCCCACCAGUUUUUUGUGGCUGGCUUUGGUGGCUUGGAUGUGGGAGAAUAUCUGCAGGCCUCAUUUCUUUAUGGUUGAGGUCGGCUCUCCUGAAAUGCAUUAGCAGAACAGUCUGCGGUCUCCAUCGCUGGUGUGAUAACUAUCUACGCCAACAUGAAGAUGGGCUGCUCUCUAAUAGUUCAGCUUCUAACUGUCCUCUUUUAUGGACAAACAGCAUACUUGAUCCUUGACCUCAAAUCAGGUAGGACUACCCGCUGAACUUAA